GCACACAUCUACAUGCAAACGGGAAAGGCUGGGAAGGAACCAAAUCCACCUCUGAACACCAGUUACUUGUGGGGAAGGGGCAGGUGAAGCCAACUGUCAGCAUUACUCACCUUUUCAACUGAUAAGCUUGCAUCAAUUUUGGCAAUUUCUCAUAAAAAGGCAAUUUUCACUCCUUGGGUGAUCACCCAGGUCCUGCAAAACUGAGCCACCAACAACCACCUGCACCACUUCCCAUGAGGCCAAAUAAUGGCUUCCCUCAAAGCUCAGCCCUCCCACCCGCCUCCCAGUCCUCUCCCAUGCAGGGGGCUGCCGGCCUCCUGGGGUACAGGUGUCCAGGCCAAACCCAACCCACAGAUGGUUGGUGAAACCAGCAUGUAUCCAAGAGCCUUUCCACCACCUGGGCCAUGUGCCCACUGCAUAGAUAGGCCUGUGCUUGCUCCCCUAGGACAGAGACUCCCUUUUCUUCCAUUGGAAUGAGGGGUGGGGAGAUUUGAUGGUGUCCUGUACAGGUUGGGUGUUAAUCUGAUGUGGUGCUCUUGGAGAAGCUUGCUUGAGUUUGGCGCUUUCUCAGCACGUGUUGUGUGCUGCCCCUUCAAGGCAGCAGUAGCCAGAGGGCCCAUAGAAAGAAGAUGGAGGUGAAACCAGAUGCUGUGAAAAUGCUUUA
rnacentral:lncRNA from 10 species